AGUGAACGCUGGCGGUAGGCCUAACACAUGCAAGUCGAACGGCAGCACAGUAAGAGCUUGCUCUUACGGGUGGCGAGUGGCGGACGGGUGAGGAAUACAUCGGAAUCUACUUUUUCGUGGGGGAUAACGUAGGGAAACUUACGCUAAUACCGCAUACGACCUACGGGUGAAAGCAGGGGAUCUUCGGACCUUGCGCGAUUGAAUGAGCCGAUGUCGGAUUCGCUAGUUGGCGGGUUAAAGGCCCACCAAGGCGACGAUCCGUAGCUGGUCUGAGAGGAUGAUCAGCCACACUGGAACUGAGACACGGUCCAGACUCCUACGGGAGGCAGCAGUGGGGAAUAUUGGACAAUGGGCGCAAGCCUGAUCCAGCCAUACCGCGUGGGUGAAGAAGGCCUUCGGGUUGUAAAGCCCUUUUGUUGGGAAAGAAAAGCAGCAGGUUAAUACCCCGCUGUUCUGACGGUACCCAAAGAAUAAGCACCGGCUAACUUCGUG
rnacentral:rRNA from 1 species